rnacentral:rRNA from 1 species
AAGAGCUAGAGUCCGGGUAGGGGUAGAGGGAAUUCCCAGUGUAGCGGUGAAAUGCGUAGAGAUUGGGAAGAACACCGGUGGCGAAAGCGCUCUACUAGGCCGCAACUGACACUCAGGGACGAAAGCUAGGGGAGCGAAUGGGAUUAGAUACCCCAGUAGUCCUAGCUGUAAACGAUGGGUACUAGGCGUAGCUUGUAUCGACCCGAGCUGUGCCGAAGCUAACGCGUUAAGUACCCCGCCUGGGGAGUACGCACGCAAGUGUGAAACUCAAAGGAAUUGACGGGGGCCCGCACAAGCGGUGGAGUAUGUGGUUUAAUUCGAUGCAACGCGAAGAACCUUACCAGGGCUUGACAUCCGGCGAAUUCUCUGGAAACAGAGAAGUGCCUACGGGAGCGCCGUGACAGGUGGUGCAUGGCUGUCGUCAGCUCGUGUCGUGAGAUGUUGGGUUAAGUCCCGCAACGAGCGCAACCCUCGUCCUUAGUUGCCAGCAUUAAGUUGGGCACUUUAGGGAGACUGCCGGUGACAAACCGGAGGAAGGUGGGGAUGACGUCAAGUCAGCAUGCCCCUUACGUCCUGGGCAACACACGUACUACAAUGGUCGAGACAAAGGGCAGCCAACUCGCAAGAGUGAGCGAAUCUCAGCAAACUCGGCCUCAGUUCAGAUCGCAGGCUGCAACUCGCCUGCGUGAAGGAGGAAUCGCUAGUAAUCGCCGGUCAGCAUACGGCGGUGAUUCGUUCCCGGGCACUUGUACACACCGCCCGUCACACCAUGGAAGCUGGCAACAUCCGAAGUCGUUACUCCAACUGUUCGCAGAGGAGGGCGCCGAAGGUGGGGCUAGU